rnacentral:lncRNA from 1 species
CAUUCCAGGGUCAACAAAACAGUGAAACUCAGUGGCAAGGCUGCCAGAAAUAGCAUCACCUGUUGGUGGAAGAUUUUGAUGUCAGUGAUGCCCAAUGUCUCGGGUUCUUUACUUUUACAUAAUUGACAGAUGGCUGAGUUACAACAUUCUACAACGUCUUGAGGCACCUCUGAGAUACAGAUGUGUAUUCAUAAUACAUCUUCAUCUAGAAGAGUAACUGACUGUAGACUGCAGUCGGUAACCAGUGUCCCGAGAUAAGAAGCAGAGAGCUAAAGGUCCUAUCCCAGCAUGGGCUCCGGGAUGUCCAGUUGCGGGCUCUAUCUACGUGUUCUGUGCCAAGCGUGCCAUGGGAAUAGUUGGCCUUUGUCAUGGGCUAAAUUAUAUACUUUUACACCUGGUAGCAUUUGCACUUGUUGUUAGUUCUGGAAACAAAGAAAGAGGGAAAUAUAGGGUGGUCUAGCUGGUAACGGGGCAAAUUGGGCCCUGAGCUCCCAUAAGCAAACUCAAGUAAAUAUCUGAAGUAUCGCCUUUUCUUUUUGAACCAAAUGCAAUUAGAUAGCUCCCAAAUGGGUGAGAGGUGUUUUCUCUACAUUUUGCUCUAUAACCAGAGCAAGCCAUUGCCUCUAAAUUUACAGUAUGGAAUAGAAAUAGGGCACAAGGGGAACUCAAAUGACAUGGGUUUGGUGAAAAUCUGGAACUCGGCUUGGGUUGGGGAAGGCACUCAAAUCUCAUCUUGUUGGUUGCAGCUUGGUCCAAGACCUUGCACGAAUAGGCUGAGGCUUCAGGCAAUAGGAGCACUGGGGACUGAGUCGUGUCCUCCCAUAUCCGCACAUGAAGUUGACAAGAGACUCUCCAUGGCAUCAAGCUGUAUGUUUCUCGGGGCCCUGUCCUGCUUACUCUGCCUAUGUCUUCUCCCUGAGAAAACAAGUUCAGCCCAAACUUCCGUGUAAAGCUCAGAUGGAAUUCCUAAAAAAACUGAGAAGAAACUGGAGGUCCAGCUUGCAUAGCAAUGUAGCCAGACCUCAGCCUCAUCACAUUAUGGGUAAAUGGUUUGGUUGUGGCACAGGAUCGUUUUGA